UCUAGAAGCAGCUCUUCUUGCCUGUGUUUCUGCAAGAGUCAGAAACCACUUGCUAAUAGCUUAAUUCCAUUUCUCUGCAGACGGGCCGAUCCGAUUGCAGGAGAGGGAGUAUGUGGUCUGCUGGGGCCUGGAAGCCGGGGCGGCCCGCAGUCCCUGACCCCGCGGAACCACUGACUCACGCUGUAACCCAGGGUGACGUCGCGAACCCCAGAGGGCUUGCCAUCCACCCAGCUGGAAAAUUUGGACUGUUAUUAGUAUCCAGAAAAGGAUCAAUCAGCACUACGGGAGGGAGAAGAGAUGAGUCCAACAGGAAAGCUUCUCGGAAAACACAGUGGGUAUAGCACCUGACAGCAGAAGCUCAAUAAAUGUUUGCUGAAAGAAUGAAGAUGACCAAGCGUGAAUAGCAUUAUAGCGUAAGAAAAUACCAAACAUGGGGAAGUAACAAAGUUACAGAAAUGUACAAAAUCUUAUAAUCCUGGACUCAGGCCUCAAACUCUCAACUCCCUUCACAGAAGGUGACUCGAAGAAAGGAACGAAUCACAAACAUGUUUCGUGUCUCCGGGUGGUUAAUCUUGCAGAAGUCUGAGGGGAAAUAGGAAGCUUCUAGGCAGAGAGGCUGGUCUAUCUGUGGAGAUGGUUCAUGUUGAAAAAUGGGCAGCUGAGACUGCACAUACCAAGAAAUGCAGGAGAAGGGCAGGCUCCGUGUGCCCCCCGCUAGGCAUGGUUGCGGGAGGUUCCACGAUCACACCCAGAAGCCGCACACCCCAAAGAGGCAAAGAUGGACUCUUCGGCAUUUUAGGCCCAAAGAAACCUUUGCCAAAAGGCCCAUAGUAGACCUCUUGUCCUCACAUUUCUUUGAAAAGAAUGUGGCCACGUACCCAUUCCUACACUUGAUCUUAGCCAAAAGGUACCCAUUCCUAAACCAGUCCCCGGAAAGGGGAAUGGAAUCAGUGCAACUGAUUCCAUUCGGGGUGGGGUGGAGGCCGGCGAGAAAAUCUGCAGGGAGGCUCUUCCAGUUGAGGAGUCAUUGCCGCUGUGUAGCUUAAGGAAUUCCAAAAGUCUGAACUUGUUUUAUUUAUUGUGGGUAAAAAUAGUUAUGAAAGUAGGAUGGAAGAGACAUUUGCAAGAGAGGACAGUCAUCCACUGAACAUGGGGGGAAGGGCAAGCGAGAGGGGGAAAUCAAAGAGGUUCUGACGUUGAACUUCUCCUCAAACUUGAUCUACAGCAACAACGGAGAGAUAGGGAACCACUUACUGACUAUUUCCAGAAACUUGGAGACUAUUCCCAGACCGAAAGUUCACUUGUGGUUAACAAGGAACAAACAAACAAAACCCAAAGCGACUCUUAGAAUGCGGGGUUCAGAGCACUUCAUUAUGCGGCAGGACAGGGGUCGGGUCAGCUAAGAACAGCGCAGGCAAUAAAUUCUUCAUGUGGCUCACGACCACUUCACCUCCAGAUGGUUGAAAAACUGAGAAGGAGACACAUUCUUCUGCUUCGAAUUUUGAUCAGCUGGGACAAAUUAGGUAAGAAGAACAACUCGGCAGAAAGUAGCAGCUCUCAGUUUGGGAAAGCAGGGAGGAAAAGCAUUAGCUCGCUCAGACAGAGGCCUUCAACAUCGGCAGGGUGGAUGCUCAGAGUUCAGAGAAAAGAUAGGAGGUUAGAGACUCGCAUGAAGACAUUCUGACUACAGUUCCAUCUGGUGUGGAUGGCGUAGGACCAGGAGGGGAGCCACAAGACAUUUUGUGGCUUCCCCAGGUGCUGAUGAUCCCCGAUUUUCAAAGAGUAUCUAUUAAAAGAUGGAAGGAGUUAUCAUCCCAGAAUGGCUAAAACCUUGACCAUGGCGAUAGACAGAAUAUGGGGUAAAUCCUGCACUGACUCUUAGUUGCUGUGUGGCCUCAGACAAGUUGUGCAACUGCUCUGUGCCUUCAUUUCCUUAUCUUUAAACCGCACCUAAGAAGUCCUUCCCAACUGGGUUGUUUAGGAUAAAGAAGAUCAUGUAUGUAGAGCACCUUAUCAUGAUAGCAGGCACAAUGUAACUGAUAUGUUACCUUGCAUGUAUCACAUGUAUCUGUAUUCUACAGAUUAUAGAAUCCACAAUGUAGAUUAUAGAAACUAGGGUAAUAAAAAAGAAUUUAAAAAGUCAGAAACAUUUUCUACGAUUCUAUUUUUUAGAGGAGUCUCUUCAGCAUGCCCAGAGAAUCCAAUCAGUAGACAAAAAUGCCAAAGGAAAAAA